UUUGUUAUACAAAUAGAUGGUUUUUGUCAUAAAUCCUCAAGAGCCUGACAGAAACUGCAUUUGCACUCCUUCAGGUUGGAUUGAUUUGUUGAGGAAGAGUAUACCAGAGUAUCUUCUCUAUACAGGGGCAAAAUGUCGACACCAAUUUCGGUUCGUGACCUAGGACCACAGUCAAGUACAAAUGGGGCAAGUCCUCCCGAAACAACAGCGCUUGAUGCGAUUCUAGCUCGGCUUAAGGACAUGGAGAUGCAUUUUGAUAAUCAGUUCAAAGAGUUAAAGAAUCAUUUUGAUAAUAAGUUCAAAGAGUUAAAGAAUCAGUUAGAUGCAACGAAGAAAAAGACGGAGAACUUGUCUUCUGCAGUUAAGGAUAAGAAGAAGACUUGAAAGUAAGCCAUGAGGACUAAGAUCUCCAAGGAAUAAACAAGCGACGGCUGGAGGAUGUUUAAAUAUUCCUAUAUAUUAAUUCUAUUAUAUAUAAAUAUUUCUAUAUACGAAUAAAACGUAUUGUAAGGCUAUCAAAGAUCAUCAUCAUCAUCAUAUAUAUAUAUAUAUAUAUAUAUAGAAUUAUAUUGGAUUUUAAUGUCUUAUCUUUAUUAAUACAUUUCAUAUUUUCUUCUA